CAAGUCUAUGGGGUAGACCCAGUUACCCCCAAUUUGCAGUCGGGAACGCUGAGGUACGGGAGGCUAAGGACCGUGCCAGGUCCCGUGCAUACUUCGCGAAGAUUCCAGAACCCCCCUGAAUGCACUAAUUAGAAGCCUUGAGAACAAGCAACAGAAACCUACUCUUGAGUACAUGAAGAAAAGAAUCCAUGGAAAGGACCCAGAUUGCUCGCAGAAUCAAAUAAAGAGUCAAACAGCCUGUCUUGGAGGGACCGGCAGCCAGACCCCUCGGGGUCUAUCAGUAGCAGUGACUUACAGAUUGUCUCUCCAGGGUUGGCCAGUAUUCCCCCCUUUUCUGUUUUGAGGUGGCCAUCUGGAUUCUAAUUGUCGUGGCAUUUCUUGCCUUGGGCCAUAUGCCCAUGUCCCUGAUGUCUCCAUGAAUGACAACACACCAAAACCACGUGGCAGGAGGAAGGAACAUUUUCCCCAAGGAGAAGCAGAGCAUUACUACCAGCAUAAGAAGGAAGGCGACCAAGGCAAGCGUGAGCCACCACUGUCCUCUACUCCGAGACUCAGCUGCCUCAUAACACGAUGACUGUUCUGAGGAUCACGUCAACUGUGAGCAGCUCUUCUAACUGGAGGGGACACGCAAAGGCACGAACACCACCAGGCGGGGUUUCAGGGCCACCUUCUAGUCUGUCACAAUCAGGUCAAGAUGACCCACUCAGCAACACCAUGAAAGAGAAAAAGGAUUAAUUUGGAAAAACUGAUAAGCAGACAUCACCUGGAAUGCAGCCCAGAAGCAAAAGAAAUGGGAAAUAUGAAACUGUCUCCUGUGUUCAAGAAGCGAGUCAGUGAGCCCAGCUCCUGCUCAUGGGGAGGGGACACAGAGGCCCUGAGUACUAGCAGACGGGGAGCACUGGGGACCGUCUUGGAGGCUGCCUGCCACGGAGAGGGAAGUCCAGAAGAGCAGCCUCGAGGAGCUGGGGAGGCUCUGUGCUCGGCAGGAGGUGCCAGCAGCCACUCUCGUGGGUCCUCGUACAGGAUCCCCAUGUUGGCCUAUUUAUGUUUUUCACGUGCUCAGAGCACAUGUCAACAAAUACAGUGACUAGGCCACAAACGUCUUUUGAACUGAUUAUGGAUGAAACUGUUGAGAGCAGAGUUUCUGGAAUUCUCCUUCUGGAUUCAGGACCAAGCAACAAAGGGUUUGACUGGUGAAGGGUGUGAACCAGGAGCCCUGGCAGCCUCUCUGUGACUUCUCUGAACUGGAAUCAGAACCUUGUGUUGCUUCCCGUAUUUAAUUGUCAUCCCUGUCAGCUGCAGCAGAAAAGUGUUUAACCAGUAA